CGACCAAGAGAUCUUAUCUUCAUACUUAUUUUUUGAUUCUAUUUUUUAUCGAUCAGGAGGUCUUAUCUUCAUACUUAUUUUUUGGCAUGAUUUUUAUCAACUAGAAGAUUUUAUCUUCAUAUUUGCUUUAUGGUUUAAUUUUUACCGACUAGAAGAUCUUAUCUCUAUAUUUAUUUUUUGAUCCAAUACCGACUAGGAGAUCUUACCUUUGUACCUUAUCUC
rnacentral:lncRNA from 1 species